UGCUCAGGAUGAACGCUGGCGGCGUGCUUAACACAUGCAAGUCGAACGAACCUUCGGGUUAGUGGCGGACGGGUGAGUAACGCGUGAGAAUCUGCCCUCAGGAGGGGGAUAACGGCUGGAAACGGCCGCUAAUACCCCAUAUGCCGAGAGGUGAAAUGAAUUUCGCCUGAGGAUGAGCUCGCGUCUGAUUAGCUAGUUGGUGGGGUAAGAGCCUACCAAGGCUUCGAUCAGUAGCUGGUCUGAGAGGAUGAUCAGCCACACUGGGACUGAGACACGGCCCAGACUCCUACGGGAGGCAGCAGUGGGGAAUUUUCCGCAAUGGGCGAAAGCCUGGCGGAGCAACGCCGCGUGAGGGAUGAAGGCCUCUGGGCUGUAAACCUCUUUUCUCAAGGAAGAAGAUCUGACGGUACUUGAGGAAUAAGCCACGGCUAAUUCCGUGCCAGCAGCCGCGGUAAUACGGGAGUGGCAAGCGUUAUCCGGAAUUAUUGGGCGUAAAGCGUCCGCAGGCGGCCUUGAAAGUCUGCUGUUAAAGCGUGGAGCUUAACUCCAUUUCAGCAGUGGAAACUACAAGGCUAGAGUGUGUAGGGGCAGAGGGAAUUCCCGGUGUAGCGGUGAAAUGCGUAGAUAUCUGGAAGAACACCAGUGGCGAAGGCGCUCUGCUGGGCCAUAACUGACGCUCAUGGACGAAAGCCAGGGGAGCGAAAGGGAUUAGAUACCCCUGUAGUCCUGGCCGUAAACGAUGAACACUAGGUGUCGGGGGAAUCGACCCCUCCGGUGUCGUAGCCAACGCGUUAAGUGUUCCGCCUGGGGAGUACGCACGCAAGUGUGAAACUCAAAGGAAUUGACGGGGGCCCGCACAAGCGGUGGAGUAUGUGGUUUAAUUCGAUGCAACGCGAAGAACCUUACCAGGGUUUGACAUCCUGCGAAUCCCUUGGAAACGAGGGAGUGCCUUCGGGAGCGCAGUGACAGGUGGUGCAUGGCUGUCGUCAGCUCGUGUCGUGAGAUGUUGGGUUAAGUCCCGCAACGAGCGCAACCCACGUCUUUAGUUGCCAGCAUUCAGUUGGGCACUCUAGAGAGACCGCCGGUGAUAAACCGGAGGAAGGUGUGGAUGACGUCAAGUCAUCAUGCCCCUUACAUCCUGGGCUACACACGUACUACAAUGCUACGGACAAAGGGCAGCAAACUCGCGAGAGCUAGCAAAUCCCAUAAACCGUGGCUCAGUUCAGAUCGUAGGCUGCAACUCGCCUACGUGAAGGAGGAAUCGCUAGUAAUCGCAGGUCAGCAUACUGCGGUGAAUACGUUCCCGGGCCUUGUACACACCGCCCGUCACACCAUGGAAGUUUGCCACGCCCGAAGUCGUUACUCCAACCCGCAAGGGAGGAGGAUGCCGAAGGUGGGGCUGAUGACUGG
rnacentral:rRNA from 1 species